ACAACUUUCAGCAACGGAUCUCUUGGCUCUCGCAUCGAUGAARAACGCAGCGAAAUGCGAUAAGUAAUGUGAAUUGCAGAAUUCAGUGAAUCAUCGAAUCUUUGAACGCACCUUGCGCUCCUUGGUAUUCCGAGGAGCAUGCCUGUUUGAGUGUCAUUA
rnacentral:rRNA from 2 species